rnacentral:rRNA from 1 species
AUUGAACGCUGGCGGCAGGCCUAACACAUGCAAGUCGAGCGGAGCGGUGGACGGGUGAGUAAUGCCUAGGAAUCGGCCUGGUAGUGGGGUAUAACGUCCGGAAACGGGCGCUGAUACCGCAUACUAUCAGAUGAGACUAGGUCGGAUUAGCUAGAUGGUGGGGUAAAGGCCAACCAAGGCGACGAUCCGUAACUGGUCUGAGAGGAUGAUAAGUCACCUGGGAACUGAGACACUGUCCAGACUCCUACGGUAGGCAGCAGUGGGGAAUAUUGGACAAUGGUCGCAAGCCUUAUCCAGCCAUGCCGCGUGUGUGAAGAAGGUCUUCGGAUUGUAAAGCACUUUAAGUUGGGAGGCGUUACCAACAGAAUAAGCACCGGCUAACUUCGUGCCAGCAGCCGCGGUAAGUC